rnacentral:rRNA from 1 species
UACGAAGGGGGCGAGCGUUAUUCGGAAUCACUGGGCGUAAAGCGUGCGUAGGCGGUUUUGUAAGUUGGAAGUGAAAGCCCAGGGCUUAACCCUGGAAUUGCUUUCAAAACUACAAGACUCGAAUCUCGGAGAGGAUAGCGGAAUUCUCAGUGUAGCAGUGAAAUGCGUAGAUAUUGAGAGGAACACCAGUGGCGCAAGCGGCUAUCUGGACGAGUAUUGACGCUGAGGCACGAAAGCGUGGGGAGCAAACAGG